rnacentral:rRNA from 1 species
UACGAAGGGGGCUAGCGUUGCUCGGAAUUACUGGGCGUAAAGGGCGUGUAGGCGGCUAGUUUAGUCAGAGGUAAAAGCCCAGGGCUCAACCUUGGAACUGCCUUUGAUACUGGCUAUCUUGAGUUCGGGAGAGGUGAGUGGAAUGCCGAGUGUAGAGGUGAAAUUCGUAGAUAUUCGGCGGAACACCAGUGGCGAAGGCGACUCACUGGCCCGAUACUGACGCUGAGGCGCGAAAGCGUGGGGAGCAAACAGG